GAAAUGCGAUAAGUAAUGUGAAUUGCAGAAUUCAGUGAAUCAUCGAAUCUUUGAACGCACAUUGCGCCCACCAGUAUUCUGGCGGGCAUGCCUGUCCGAGCGUCAUUUCAACCAUCAAGCCCCCGGGCUUGUGUUGGGGACCUGCGGCUGCCCGCAGGCCCUGAAAACCAGUGGCGGGCUCGCUGUCACACCGAGCGUAGUAGCAAUCACCUCGCUCAGGGCGUGCUGCGGGUUCCGGCCGUUAAACAGCCUUACAAAACCCAAGGUUGACCUCGGAUCAGGUAGGAAGACCCGCUGAACUUAAGC
rnacentral:misc_RNA from 1 species